GACGAACGCUGGCGGCGUGCUUAACACAUGCAAGUCGAACGGAAAGGCCCUGCUUUUGUGGGGUGCUCGAGUGGCGAACGGGUGAGUAACACGUGAGUAACCUGCCCUUGACUUUGGGAUAACUUCAGGAAACUGGGGCUCAUACCGGAUAGGAGCUCCUGCUGCAUGGUGGGGGUUGGAAAGUUUCGGCGGUUGGGGAUGGACUCGCGGCUUAUCAGCUUGUUGGUGGGGUAGUGGCUUACCAAGGCUUUGACGGGUAGCCGGCCUGAGAGGGUGACCGGCCACAUUGGGACUGAGAUACGGCCCAGACUCCUACGGGAGGCAGCAGUGGGGAAUAUUGCACAAUGGGCGGAAGCCUGAUGCAGCAACGCCGCGUGCGGGAUGACGGCCUUCGGGUUGUAAACCGCUUUCGCCUGGGACGAAGCGUGAGUGACGGUAAUGGGUAAAGAAGCACCGGCUAACUACGUG
rnacentral:rRNA from 1 species